rnacentral:rRNA from 1 species
AAUCAACGCUGGCGGCGUGCCUCAGACAUGCAAGUCGAACGAUUAAAGCUCUCUUUGGAGAGUGUAUAGAGUGGCGCACGGGUGAGUAACACGUAAGUAAUCUACCUUCGAGUGGGGAAUAACCCGGGGAACCCGAGCUAAUACCGCAUAAUGCAGCGGCAUCUAAUGAUGACAGUUGUUAAAGAUUUAUCGCUUGAAGAGGAGCUUGCGGCAGAUUAGCUAGUUGGUAAGGUAAUGGCUUACCAAGGCUACGAUCUGUAACCGGUCUAAGAGGACGGUCGGUCACACUGACACUGAAUAACGGGUCAGACUCCUACGGGAGGCAGCAGUCGGGAAUUUUGGGCAAUGGGCGAAAGCCUGACCCAGCAACGCCGCGUGAAGGAUGAAGUAUUUCGGUAUGUAAACUUCGAAAGAAUGGGAAGAAUCAAUGACGGUACCAUUUAUAAGGUCCGGCUAACUACGUGCCAGCCGCCGCCGUAAU